rnacentral:rRNA from 1 species
CACGGGGGGAGCAAGCGUUGUUCGGAUUUACUGGGCGUAAAGGGCGCGUAGGCGGUCAGCACAAGUCAGUUGUGAAAUCUCCGGGCUUAACUCGGAAAGGUCAACUGAUACUGUGCGACUAGAGUGCGGAAGGGGCAACUGGAAUUCUCGGUGUAGCGGUGAAAUGCGUAGAUAUCGAGAGGAACACCUGCGGCGAAGGCGGGUUGCUGGGCCGACACUGACGCUGAUGCGCGAAAGCCAGGGGAGCGAACGGG